GGGGCUGUGGCUCAGUGGAAGAGCCUUUGCUUUGCAUGCAGAAGGUCCCCAGUUCGAUAGUAUGUGAUUGUGACUAGUCCAA
rnacentral:tRNA from 1 species